rnacentral:rRNA from 1 species
GAGCUCAGGCAAGGCUACCCGCUGAACUUAAGCAUAUCAAUAAGCGGUGGAGAAGAAACUAACAAGGAUGCGCUUAGUAACGGCGAGCGAACCGCGCAAAGCCCAACUUGAAAAUCUCCCUUGGAGAAUUGUAGUCUA